AACGAACGCUGGCGGCAGGCUUAACACAUGCAAGUCGAGCGCCCCGCAAGGGGAGCGGCAGACGGGUGAGUAACGCGUGGGAAUCUACCGUACCCUACGGAAUAGCUCCGGGAAACUGGAAUUAAUACCGUAUACGACCUACGGGGGAAAGAUUUAUCGGGGUAUGAUGAGCCCGCGUUGGAUUAGCUAGUUGGUGGGGUAAAGGCCUACCAAGGCGACGAGCCAUAGCUGGUCUGAGAGGAUGAUCAGCCACAUUGGGACUGAGACACGGCCCAAACUCCUACGGGAGGCAGCAGUGGGGAAUAUUGGACAAUGGGCGCAAGCCUGAUCCAGCCAUGCCGCGUGAGUGAUGAAGGUCUUAGGAUUGUAAAGCUCUUUCACCGAUGAAGAUAAUGACGGUAGUCGGAGAAGAAGCCCCGACUAACUUCGUGCCAGCCGCCGCGGUAA
rnacentral:rRNA from 1 species